rnacentral:misc_RNA from 1 species
GGAAUACUUUAAUAUAGUGCUCAGAGAUUAACUUAUUGUUUUAAAAUUCACAUUUAACACAACAACAUUAAAACAUUAAGAAAAUAAAAAGGAAUUAAAUACCUUCAAAAACAGGUACAUACUUCGUAAAAACAAAUGACAUACGCUAAGCAGGGAAAUUACUUAGGAAUGUUAUUAACCAACAACUAAAUGAGUUGAAAGCAAUCAUCCAAAGGGCACAAAGCAUUGAGCACAGACAAUAACAGUGAAAGAAAAACAUAAUUCACUUAGAUAAACAAAAAUAAAAUCAUUAAGCAUCAUAAGUUUUACAUGUCUAGUAUCUUAAUAUAAUUACAUUAUUUCAAUAUAUAGACAAAUCAUUUAAAAAAGGCAACAUGGAACUUAUAAUUACAACCCGUAGCUACAUGGUACCUAAAAGCUGUAUUUACAAUCUAGGUUAAGCAAGGCCUAAUAAACAAAAAGAUCCCACCUGCCAAACAAAAUCCUAAAGUAAGCAUAUUAGCUUUCAAAAGUCCACCAAAAUAGAAGUUAUAACCAAGAGGGCAACAUCCCCAGCAAAAUCCAUGCCAGAAAAAUUCUUUAAAUCUAGCCAUUUAUUCAUGUAUUUGAAUAGGAGAUCAAGUUUAACAGCUUGAUAAAAAAACAAAGCACAAAUCAAACAACCUUUUGUACCGUCCCAAGCAGAUACAUUCAGGAACAGAAACCAAGGAAGGAAAAAACAAAUAAGCAUAUCAAUGAAAAAGAUCAGAGUAAGAUGUUUAACUUGAAUGAUCAAAUACAGCAAAAGAGCUAAAAAUAAA